rnacentral:rRNA from 1 species
AUGGCGCGCAUUCUGCAUCACUUCCUCCCGCUUCUCUGCUGCCUCGCCGCCGCCCGCGGCUCGGUCGACUUCCGAGCUGACCUCAACCACCCCUACGCCGGCAGCUCGCUCUCUACGGACCAUGUCAUCGGCCAUGCCGCCCGCGCCAGCAAGGCCCGUGCGGAAAGGAUCAACGCGAGGGUCGCACGCGCCAUCGGCAAAGGCGGAGACAUCUCAGCAGCUCACGUGCCGCUCGCCCCGCUCGGCGACGAGGGCCACUCGCUGACCGUGGGCAUCGGCACGCCGCCGCAGCCGCGCACGCUCAUCGUCGACACGGGCAGCGACCUCAUCUGGACGCAGUGCGAGCUGCCGCGCGGCCGCGCGGCGAGGCAGCGCGAGCCGCCCCUCUACGAUCCCCGCAAGUCCUCCUCCUUCUCCUUCCUCCCGUGCGGCAGCAGGCUGUGCCAGGAGGGCCAGUUCAGCUUCAAGAACUGCACCGGGAGCAGGUGCAUGUACGACGAGCUGUACGGCAGCGCCGAGGCGGACGGCGUCCUCGCGUCCGAGACCUUCACCUUCGGCGUGCAGCGCAGCAAGGUCUCCCUCCCCCUCGGCUUUGGAUGCGGCGCGCUCUCGGCGGGGAGCCUCGUCGGCGCCUCCGGCCUCAUGGGCCUCAGUCCGGGGACCAUGUCCCUCAUAUCUCAGCUGUCCGUGCCAAGGUUCUCCUACUGCCUCACCCCGUUCGCAGAGCGCAGGAGCAGCCCGAUGCUGUUCGGUGCCAUGGCCGACCUGCACAAGUACAACACGACGGGGCCGAUCCAGACCACCGCCAUACUGACCAACCCGGCAGAGGACACCUUCUACUACUACGUGCCGCUGGUCGGCCUCUCUCUCGGGACCAAGCGGCUGGGCGUGCCGGCGGCCAGCCUCGCGAUAAAGCCCGACGGCAGCGGCGGCACCAUCGUCGACUCCGGCAGCACCAUAGCGUACCUCGCGGGGACGGCGUUCGAGGCCGUGAAGAGGGCCGUGCUGGAGGCGGUGACGCUCCCGGUGUUUAACGGCACCGUUGAGGGCUACGAGCUGUGCUUCGUGCUGCCGAGCGGCGCGGCAAUGGCCGCGGUCAAGACGCCGCCGCUCGUGCUCCACUUCGACGGCGGCGCCGCCAUGGCGCUGCCGCGGGACAACUACUUGCAGGAGCCGACGGCCGGGCUGAUGUGUCUCGCGGUGGGCAGGUCGCCGGAGGACCUCGGCGCCUCCAUCUCCAUCAUCGGCAACGUCCAGCAGCAGAACAUGCACGUGCUGUUCGAUGUGCGCAACCAAAAGUUCUCCUUCGCGCCAACUAAAUGUCACGACAUCUGA